rnacentral:tRNA from 1 species
GGGGUUGUGGCUUAGAGGUAAAGCGCUCGCCUGGCAUGUGAGAGGCACUAGGUUCAAUCCUCAGCACCA